GAUGAACGCUGGCGGCGUGCCUAAUACAUGCAAGUCGAGCGAACAGACGAGGAGCUUGCUCCUCUGACGUUAGCGGCGGACGGGUGAGUAACACGUGGAUAACCUACCUAUAAGACUGGGAUAACUUCGGGAAACCGGUGCUAAUACCGGAUAAUAUAUUGAACCGCAUGGUUCAAUAGUGAAAGACGGUUUUGCUGUCACUUAUAGAUGGAUCCGCGCCGCAUUAGCUAGUUGGUAAGGUAACGGCUUACCAAGGCGACGAUGCGUAGCCGACCUGAGAGGGUGAUCGGCCACACUGGAACUGGGACACGGUCCAGACUCCUACGGGAGGCAGCAGUAGGGAAUCUUCCGCAAUGGGCGAAAGCCUGACGGAGCAACGCCGCGUGAGUGAUGAAGGUCUUCGGAUCGUAAAACUCUGUUAUUAGGGAAGAACAAAUGUGUAAGUAACUAUGCACGUCUUGACGGUACCUAAUCAGAAAGCCACGGCUAACUACGUG
rnacentral:rRNA from 1 species